GGGAGACAGUGGAUUUGCAUCCCGUGCACAUCCCACUGGGCACUAAUGGCUUCCACUGCACAAUCUGGUCACAGGCGUUUUCUUUUCUCCCUCUCCUUCCUAGUGCUGGGCAGAAGAAAAGUGGUGAGGAGAGAGGCU
rnacentral:lncRNA from 1 species